GUAAAAUUUUGGCACCUGAGCGGAAAUGACGUCAUCGGGGACUUAAUCUGACCUCCGCUAAUGGUACAUGCACAAAAAAAUCAAAACUAAAACAAGGCAAAAACCUCGGCCUCAGCCAACACCACCUAGAGAGAAGGCCGUUUCACAGAAUCGUGACGUCAUCACAAGAAGACCUAAGCAUGAAUGCAAAUUUUAUACCGAAAAUUUUAAGCGUUUUCACUUAAGCUGUAUCAUUCAAAUAAAAAAAAAAAUAUUUUUUUUACUAAUUUAAACUUUUGUGGAAAUUUAGUUGGCUGUGGUUCCGAAUACUCCCCGCUCCAAAAACUUAUUUUUUUUCAAUUCCUAACAGUAAAAUAACUAGAG
rnacentral:lncRNA from 1 species